rnacentral:tRNA from 1 species
GCAUUGGUGGUUCAGUGGUAGAAUUCUCGCCUGCCACGCUGGGAGGCCCGGUUCGAUUCCCGCCAAUGCA